rnacentral:rRNA from 1 species
UACGUGGGGGCGCAAGCGUUUAUCCGGAAUUAUUGGGCGUAAAGAGCUCGUAGGCGGUUUGUCGCGUCUGCCGUGAAAGUCCGGGGGCUCAACUCCGGAUCUGCGGUGGGUACGGGCAGACUAGAGUGAUGUAGGGGAGACUGGAAUUCCUGGUGUAGCGGUGAAAUGCGUAGAGAUCCGGAGGAACACCAGUGGCGAAGGCGACACGCUGGGCCGUACCUGACACUGAUGCGCGACAGCAUGGGGAGCAAACAGG